GUAAACCCUUUUGUUUCCGCUUUGUUCUAACGUGCUGUGUCCCUUUUCCUCUUCCAGAUCUCUUUUUUAUAUCUUUAUUUAUUUAUUUAUUUUGUCUUUUUUGGCGACAGAAUCGGCCUAGCCUGCACCCUGAGCCGGCCUUCACGCUACCGCCAGGAGAAGACUGAGACUGCUCCAGUUCAGACCCACGCACUGGUCAGCAGCGUGCCCGCCACCUCACGCCGCCGUCCUGCACCGACAUGCAGUGGACUGCGGCACCCGGGCAGUCGCUGCUCCUGGCAGCAGAGUAAGUCUACCCUUUUUUUUUUCUUUUUGUCUAGUGUGUGUGUGUGUGUGUGUGUGUGUGAUUGAGACUAGGGCUGCCAUGACCUGUUAGUGAGUGACAGUGAUAUGACAGUGCCAUCUUGUUGCUGUGGUUUCAGACAGGGCUUCUGGUGAGGUGCAUUUAUAAAGCUGUGGUUUUUGAGCGUGAGUGUGUGUGUGUGAUAGCUCGUCUCCUUUGCUGACUACAUCGUCUCAGACAGUCUCAGCCAUUACCGGCUGCUGAAUGGCUCUUUUUUUCUCGCUUGGAGCUAAAGACGG
rnacentral:lncRNA from 1 species